rnacentral:rRNA from 1 species
GAUGAACGCUAGCGGCAGGCUUAACACAUGCAAGUCGAGGGGCAGCACGUCUUCGGAUGGUGGCGACCGGCGCACGGGUGCGUAACGCGUAUACAACCUACCUUAUAGAGGGGAAUAGCCCAGAGAAAUUUGGAUUAAUGCCCCAUAGUAUUAUUGAAUAGCAUUAUUUGAUGAUUAAACAUUUAUGGCUAUAAGAUGGGUAUGCGUUCUAUUAGCUAGAUGGUAAGGUAACGGCUUACCAUGGCAACGGUAGAUAGGGGUCCUGAGAGGGAGAUCCCCCACACUGGUACUGAGACACGGACCAGACUCCUACGGGAGGCAGCAGUGAGGAAUAUUGGACAAUGGGCGAGAGCCUGAUCCAGCCAUGCCGCGUGCAGGAAGACGGCCCUAUGGGUUGUAAACUGCUUUUAUACGGGAAGAAACACUCCUUCGUGAAGGAGCUUGACGGUACCGUAAGAAUAAGGAUCGGCUAACUCCGUGCCAGCAGCCGCGGU